rnacentral:rRNA from 1 species
AGUGAACGCUGGCGGCAGGCCUAAUACAUGCAAGUCGAACGGCAGCACAGCAGAGCUUGCUCUGUGGGUGGCGAGUGGCGGACGGGUGAGGAAUACAUGGGAAUCUGCCCAGUCGUGGGGGAUAACGUAUGGAAACGUACGCUAAUACCGCAUGCGCCCUACGGGGGAAAGUCGGGGACCGCAAGGCCUGACGCGAUUGGAUGAGCCCAUGUUCGAUUAGCUAGUUGGCGGGGUAAAGGCCCACCAAGGCGACGAUCGAUAGCUGGUCUGAGAGGAUGAUCAGCCACACUGGAACUGAGACACGGUCCAGACUCCUACGGGAGGCAGCAGUAGGGAAUAUUGGACAAUGGGGGCAACCCUGAUCCAGCCAUGCCGCGUGAGUGAAGAAGGCCCUCGGGUUGUAAAGCUCUUUUGUCCGGAAAGAAAGCAAUCGGUUAAUACCCGGUUGUCCUGACGGUACCGGAAGAAUAAGCACCGGCUAACUUCGUGCCAGC